rnacentral:lncRNA from 1 species
GACAACCCUGUGUCCUGUGGUGAAGAUCGUGUCCGCUCUAUAUAUUGAGAACCGUUAUGAUUUCAAAGUUUAUACUUGACAUUCAUUUUAACCAACACCAGAGGGUGUGUCAUGAUGUAUGUACAACUUCCUAGGUCAAAGGUCUGUCUGUCUGUUGGUCUGUCCAUAGCUAAAAAAUUUGAUCAACUUAUUUACCCCACGUUAUUGACAGCGGGGCCCCAAGAGAUGGCUCCCAUCUCAAUGGUAUCUAGUUAACUUGUAAAAUCAGUUCAGCAGAAUAUGGAAAAUAUAUAAGUGGAAUGUGCAUAUGAUACCCUUGAAAUGCACUGUUCCUGUCAAAUGCCAAAC